rnacentral:rRNA from 1 species
AUAUCAGUCAUGCAUAGCAUAUCAAUAAGCGGAGGAAAAGAAACUAACAAGGAUUCCCUUAGUAACGGCGAGUGAAGCGGGAAGAGCUCAGAUUUGAAAUCUUCAAGGUUUUACCUUGACGAAUUGUAGUUUAAAGAAGUGUUUUCUGUUGAAGUUUUGGUAAAAGUUCUUUGGAAUAGGACAUCAUAGAGGGUGAGAAUCCCGUAUUUGACCAUUGACUUUCAGCUUUGUGAUACACUUUCAAAGAGUCGGAUUGUUUGGGAAUGCAGUCCAAAAUGGGUGGUAAAUUUCAUCUAAAGCUAAAUAUUGGCGAGAGACCGGAUAGCGAACAAGUACCGUGAGGGAAAGAUGAAAAGAACUUUGAAAAGAGAGUUAAACAGUACGUGAAAUUGUCAAAAGGGAAGCGUUUGACACCAGUGUUGUUUUCUCGAAAAUCAAUUAAAAAGAGUUGGAUUUUGUGUUGUAUUGACUUUAUCAGCCUUCUUCACUCUUUUCCAGCUUUUUUUAAUGCACUUUUCGUUUAACAAGUCAACAUCAGUUUCUUUGUUGUAAAAAGGUCAUUGGAAGGUGGCUUUCUCUUCGGAGAAAGUGUUUAUAGCCUUUGACUCAUGCAAUCGGAGAGACUGAGGUCUGCAGCGUAGAUCCUUCGGGGUUAGAUACAUUUGUGCUAAGUUAUAGCUUUUCAUAGACAACUUGUUGACUAUGUUUAGUCUUGUAGCUUACUCGCUUAUGCUAUUUUACCUACGCUUAGGAUGUUGAACUCUAUCACACACAG